AGACGACAUUGGGGAAUAUGGUUGUGAAGUACCGAGUAUUUUGGGAUCUGUAAAGGAAUCCUUAACACUAAAGUUGCCAGUCUUAAGAUUACAAGGAGCCUCUUCUGAAAAUGACGAAGUCACCAUUUCCUACAGUGUUGUACAUGAAGGCUACCAAAAGGUACACAGUAUCAAAUGGACAAAAGAUGGCAAUCUUUUGGA